rnacentral:rRNA from 1 species
UACGGGGGGGAGCAAGCGUUGUUCGGAUUUACUGGGCGUAAAGGGCGCGUAGGCGGUCAGCACAAGUCAGUUGUGAAAUCUCCGGGCUUAACUCGGAAAGGUCAACUGAUACUGUGCGACUAGAGUGCAGAAGGGGCAACUGGAAUUCUCGGUGUAGCGGUGAAAUGCGUAGAUAUCGAGAGGAACACCUGCGGCGAAGGCGGGUUGCUGGGCUGACACGUGACGCUGAGGCGCGAAAGCCAGGGGAGCGAACGGGG